rnacentral:lncRNA from 1 species
CGAAACUUUAACCAGAGAAACAUCCAUGACAAUUCUUUCUAUCUCCCUAUACAAAGAUAAUAGAUGUAAAGUUGUAUUAAAGAUUGAAAGUGAUCUUGACAAUUUAUUUAAAGAAAGAAA